UACGUAGGAUGCAAGCGUUGUCCGGAAUUAUUGGGCGUAAAGAGCGCGCAGGCGGUUUGGAAAGUUGGACGUGAAAUUUUAGGGCUUAACCCUAAAGGGUCGUCCAAAACUCCCAGACUAGAGUGCAGGAGAGGAAAGCGGAAUUCCCGGUGUAGUGGUGAAAUGCGUAGAUAUCGGGAGGAACACCAGUGGCGAAGGCGACUACCUGGCCUGUUCUUGACGCUGAGGCGCGAAAGCUAGGGGAGCAAACGGG
rnacentral:rRNA from 1 species